GUUCCAUUGGGAACUUUCCUUAUAUAAUAUUUUAUCAAAUGCUAUAAGAAAAUUUCCUUCAAAAAGGAUAAAAUAUUACAUAAGGAAAGUUCCCAAUGGAAC
rnacentral:sRNA from 1 species